UAUGCGCAUGAUGCGCAUGCGCAGAUGUUAAUUCCGCCUCGCGAAAACAUUCAAAACAAAAACACUCGAAACGAAAAUAAAAUAUUCACCACCACCUGGUUUGCCAACAUCGUCUUUACAAGGAAUGUCCAGCAGUGCAUGACAGAGGCCGGUCACUCCCAUUAAGUCCAGCUGAAGAGCCUUCCCAGUUCAUAGGACAAAAUGCAGUUACACAGAUUUUAACGGUGUUGGAAACAAUGAGAGACGAGAACAGGGAAAUGAAGUGGAUGCUGCAGCGGCUCUUGGCUAGGUCAGCUUCUGAUGACGAGCCAAUGCAACUGCCAGAGAACAUCAGUCUACCAAUUGGAACACUUGAGCAAAUGGAUGAGUUUGAAGAGCAUCUUGGUGAUGAAGCUACGAUCCAUCUUUUCUAGGACUGCUGCAUAGUUCAAGCUUUUUUAUCAAAUAUAUUAAGCAAUGUUGUAAAUGUAUUUGACAGUUCUUUCUCCAUUGAUCCUAAACCAUUCCUUUAAGGCUCAUCUUCUAAGAAAGCAUACAAUAUUUUUUAUCUGGAAAUGAAAUGGUAUAUAUUCCUUUGCAAAAGAAGAAACAGCAUUCCCGUUUUUGAAGGUUUUAAAAGACAUAUAUAUAUAUAUAUAUCAUGUGCAAUUAUGAAAUACACUAGAAUGUAUGAAGAUAUCAAAGAUAAUAAUAUGGACUUGUUCUCGAACAAGGAUUUGCCAUUUAUUUGAGUUUUGGAUUUUUUGCAGGGUUUUUAAUUUCUAGUUUUUAUUUAAUGCUUUCAGGUGGUUUAUAGAGAAAUAUCAGUGAAUUAAAACUGGUUCAAACAGUGAAAAUUAUCAGUGAGAAUUAUCGAUACCGGUAAUUUUCAUUGUUUACUGUGAAAUGAUGUCAUUUUUUUGACGAAAUGACGUCAUUAUCCCAGCAAAAUUCUUUAGUUAAACUCUUUAACAAUGUAUAUAAACGGUGAAAAAUGCAUUAAAUAAAAAGAAAAUUUAUUGGAUUCGGUGGAUUAUCGAUUUUAAUUAACUCGUGUUCAUAGAGAAUAUAUAUUUUCUAUGAUCACUCGUGAAUUAAAAUCGAUAAUCCACUGGAUCCAACAAAUAUCCUCUAUAUAAAAUAUUUUGUUUAGUCUUGCAAGUAUGUUUUCUACAAAUGUUCUUUGAGUACAUGGUGUAUUAUUUGUAUUGAUUAAAGAUUUUAUUUGCUUUUGAGUAAUGUGUAGUACAUCAGGAAAAUACUUGAAGGUAUUCUGUAUAUGUAAUAUAUAUUUAUUAUCAAAAUAAUAGAAGUCCUUAAUUCUAUAGUUGUAUAACUGGUCAACAUAUAUAAUGUUAUAGAAAGACGUCUUAUUGUUUGAAGUUAUGUCUUUAUUGUUCCAUGAAAUAGUUUUACUGUUGGUUUGGGUUUAUAGAUUAUGAGUUUCAUUACUCCAUGCGGAUAGAACAUUAGAUAGAAACAUGUGUUUGUAAGCAACUUCAUGUAAAAGCGGAUAGAACAUUAGAUAGAAACAUGUUUUCGUUAGCAACUUCAUGUAAAAUAUUUUUGCUGAUGUUACAUUCAAAAAGUUAGGAAUCACCAUAUUAUUUUAGAAUUCUCUGGUAGAAUAGUUAACUUGGGAUCCUCCUGCUAUGUAUGUAUGUAUCCAUGUAUAUGUGUGUAAUACUUUAUGUGAAUAAAAGUUGAGAGUA